UCGGGAAUUUUGGGCAAUGGGCGAAAGCCUGACCCAGCAACGCCGCGUGAGGGAUGAAGUAUUUCGGUAUGUAAACCUCGAAAGAAUGGGAAGAAUAAAUGACGGUACCAUUUAUAAGCUCCGGCUAACUACGUGCCAGCAGCCGCGGUAAUACGUAGGGAGCAAGCGUUGUUCGGAUUUACUGGGCGUAAAGGGCGCGUAGGCGGCGCGGUAAGUCACUUGUGAAAUCUCUGAGCUUAACUCAGAACGGCCAAGUGAUACUGCUGUGCUAGAGUGCGGAAGAGGCAGCCGGAAUUCUUGGUGUAGCGGUGAAAUGCGUAGAUAUCAAGAGGAACACCUGAGGCGAAGGCGGGUUGCUGGGCCGACACUGACGCUGAUGCGCGAAAGCCAGGGG
rnacentral:rRNA from 1 species